AGAGAAUUACAAAUGUGUGUUGUCAGCUUUUGGAUUUAAAGGAUGUUGUGGAGAAGAUGUGUGGUGAUAUGCAUAUCUAAGUAUCUCACUUCCUUAAGAAGCAGUGGAGAUGAAGGAUGAGUUUGUUGAGUUACGAAAGCAUACUAUUUUUGAAUCUUAUUUUUGGAAGUGAAUGCUGAUGCGUAGAAAUAAUAUGUGACUGGCUUUUGUUUAGAUUUUGAAAAUUUACGAGGUUGGUGAGCUGUUUGAAGAGGCAAGAGAGACUCUGAAGAAGAAUGUGGUUUGUGCUAUCAAAGAAUUACGUAUUUAUAACGCUUUAUAAAAGUUGCAGAGUUGGCUUCUUAGUACAUUCUUCUCUCUCAUCUUCUUUAGACAUCUCUUAUACUAAAACAAUUGUAUCUCUCUUUUAGUAGUUGCAUAGUUGAAGAUAUUAGUUGGACAUGUAAGUGAGUUUGGUUUCAA